UCUUUGGUUUUCUUUCUAAUUUUGAUCUGCCGCACAGGUCUUCUUCUGUUCCUGUGGAUCGAGAAAGGUCUGUAUAAUUGUUUAUUUUGUUUUUUAUUUAAUGGGUCUCGUUUGAUAUUUGCCACUGCCUGAUUCUGUUCUUGGUUUUGUAGAUGUCGGUGGGUCAGUGGUGGAUUUGAGUUUUUUUUCAAUUGUGUGCAAAACAAUUGUCUAUUGGCUAUAUUUGUUCAGAUUUUCAUAUAUAAUAUCCCCUUGCAAAAGAAAUAGCUUCUUGAAUUUUGAUUUUGGAAAUCUUUACUAUUCUUCAUGUCAUGUUAGAUUUUAUUGCUUCCACUACCCUGUAGUCCAUAUGCACUUUGCAAAGAUAACUGAAGUAGACAUGUGAGAAGGAGAUCUGGAGACUUUGUGAUUUAUCUUGUUAAAAAUUGAAACUUUUUUGAUGAUGUUUAUUCUGGAUUCUCUUGUCUUCAUUGUGUUGUUUUCUUUAUUUGAUUUAUCACUAGAAUGAAAUUAUUGUGCAUAAACUGUGACUGUUUUCUAAGUUUAAGAUACCAUUAUGCUCUGGUUUACUAAUGAUAUGGUACUUAAUUUGAUUGGUUUGAAAAGUGGUAGAUAUUUGGCUGAAUUACUGGGAGAAAGGCAGAAGUUGGUGCCAUUCAUUCAAAUUUUGCCUCACUGUAACAGACUUAUUAGUCAAGGUUUAUGAAUUCUUCAAGUUUAUUACAUUUGAGAUAGUUGUUUCUUACUAUAUCUUGUGCCAGCUUUUAGUCUUUUAGUGAUCAUUUAUGUUUUGUUUUCUUGUGCUCUUUAAGCAACCCCUUAUGUUUUUUUGUUAAAAAAAGACUUUGUGAAUCUUUGGUUUCUCAAGCAUACAUGAUCAACCUAAUUUGGAUUUGCAUCUCAUAUGGGCAUUCUGAAAGUUGGCUUCUCUCUCUCUUGAUUAUUUUAUGAUUUUGCAUAUUCGGUAUCUGAAAAAGAAUUGCAGGGUUACUGCAGCAAAGAGUUAAUGGUUGAGGUGAAAUAUGUGAUAUUUAAUUGUGUCGCACCCACAAUAGAUGACACAUAUUUAAAGUGUGUUAAUAUUACACGUACACACACAAGUACGCACACACGCACACACACAUAAGAUAUAUUCCUUUUUUGCAUGCUGUACUGAUAUAUGCCAAUAACAAUUGUACAGCGUAAACAAGUUCUUUGGUACUUAAGGUCAUCUGUUCUAUUGGUUGUAAGUUGAUGUAUGCCACGAAGUGUUUAGUUUGUGAACCUGACAAACAAUCUUCUUGUUUCACACAUUUUGUGCUCAAACCGUACCUUUUUGUUUAUGCCAUCACAUAAAUUAGAUGGGUAUCAGGAGGUUUCAAUCCAAGUUUUGUAGAUCAUGAAAGACUUGAGCAUGAGAAUCCACUUCGGUCAUUAAAUCAGAUUCCAUAUGGCAGACCAAUGGAUUUGGAGGGAUGGCCUGCAAUGCAAGUGGAGAUUUUAGAAAAUUACAACAAGAAAGGCGUAAUCAUUUACAAUACCUUCAUAGGACUUCACGCCAUAGCUAUACUGAAUUGGAAGCUGAUUUACAAGCUAAGUGGGGCACGACAGAGCAUAUAGAUCGAUCUAUACUCUGGAAGGUGGCCAGAAAAGAUUCUUCUGGCAACUAUGUCACCGAGUGUGACAAGGUCAUGGGAGAGGCCAUCAUAAGUUGUAAAACGUUAAAUGAUUUUUCAUAAUUUUUUUAUAUUUUAGUAACAAACAAAUAAUUGAUUAAAUUUUGUACAGGAAGAAAUGCUUGAGCAAAGAAAAGAAGGCAAACUGAUUGAGAUCGGAACAAAUGACAUCCUAACACAAGUGUUAGGUACUGCUGAGCACCUCGGUCGAGUUCGAGGCCAGAGUCAAGGUGUCACACCAAGAGACUACUUUCAUAAGCCUAUUGGGGGGGGGGGGGGGGUCUAAGAGGCUUGCUAGAGUUACUUUUUGAAAUCAUAGCUAGAGUUUCUUGAGCGGAAGAGUCAUAGCUAGAGUAACUUUUGAAAUCAGAAUUAAAAAAAUAUACUAAUUGUAGUUUUUAGUUAGCACUUACAUAGUUAUUCCAAGUGAGUUCUAUAUUCCAUGUGAGUUAGCACUUACAUAUUUUGAUCUUGUAAUUUUUAGAGUUGGAACAUACUGAGUUCUAUUGAUUU